UGAACAUCUCAAAAUCGCUUUUUUGUGAUUUUGGAAGUUGGGCUUUUAUUGUUGUGUAGAAUCAUCCAUACACAACUGGCCUGAAAUUUGUGACAUAUUAUUGCAAGAAAAUAUGUAGGUGCGUUGCGGCCAAAGACGAAAAGCUAAUUAGUUGACUGUGGUCAAACUUGCUGAUUAGUCUUCAAAAAACGGCCACAAUGUGACUACAUUCACA
rnacentral:misc_RNA from 1 species